rnacentral:lncRNA from 1 species
CGCGAUCUCAGCUUACUUCAGCCUCCGCCUCCCGGUUUCAAGUGAAUUCUCCAGCCUCAACUUCACAAGUAGCUGGGAUUACAGGGCAUUCAAGCAGCCCUGAGGAGAGGUCCACAUGGUGAGCCACUGAGGGCCUUGCCAAGAGCCAGCACCAACGGUCCAGGUUUGGAGUGUACCACCUUGGAAGUGAAUCUUCCAGUCCAGUCAAGCCUUCAGAUGACUUCAGAACCGUCCAUGUAAGCCACUCUUGGAUUCCUGACCCACAGAAACUGUUGGAGCUGCCAAUUUGCAGGAAAUAGAGGAGAGAAGCAUCUGUUGAACUGCACCAUGAGUAUACACUCAGCAAAGGCCAAACUGUGGAAAAUGAUACAGGUCAAACAG